AAUGUGUGUGUGUGUGUGUGUUAUGUAUGUAUGUGUGUGUAUGCACUAUUGGCUGCAUUUGAUGAGCGAUAAUUAAACCAUUAAGGUCUCAGCCCUAAUGUUAAUCACAUUAAAAUCCUCUUCUCUAUAUCUGUCUACCUUUCUAGUUAUCCUUCUGUCUCUAUCAAACUUUGUGUCAGUUUCUCGACCUGUCACCCCCAUCGACUCACUUUCUAUCUCCAUAGUCCAUUAACACUCACAUAUACAUACAGACAAACGUGUGUAUAACAUAAUAAUGUAGAUCAGGACGAUGAUGAUGAUGGUGAUGAUAUCAUUAAAAUUGAUGAAUUUUUUUUUAUUUUUUUAAAUACGUUAAAAUCUUGAAAAAUAAUUCCCUCCAACCCAAAUAGAACUUUGCAUCUCCUCGUGUGCACGUGUAUGUAUACACACACACACAUAUACACACAUAACUGGCAUGACUGGCAUACAGCUUAUUUCUUGUAAGGCCCAGAAGGGUCAGAGGUGAAUCUGAAAAACUCAUAUCGCUUCCAAAAAUUCAACACCUACCCACCUACCUUAUCACCAACCACUAACCCAAUCCACCCGACUCCCGAUUCCCCAAAUAUUAUGCCAUUCACACACACAUGUAUAUGUGUGUAUAUAUAUAUAUAUAUAUGUAUGUAU